rnacentral:rRNA from 1 species
CAGUCGCCGCGGUAAUACGAAGGGUGCAAGCGUUACUCGGAAUUACUGGGCGUAAAGCGUGCGUAGGUGGUGGUUUAAGUCCGUUGUGAAAGCCCUGGGCUCAACCUGGGAAUUGCAGUGGAUACUGGGUCACUAGAGUGUGGUAGAGGAUAGUGGAAUUUCCGGUGUAGCAGUGAAAUGCGUAGAGAUCGGAAGGAACAUCUGUGGCGAAGGCGACUAUCUGGGCCUGCACUGACGCUCAUGCACGAAAGCGUGGGGAGCAAACAGGAUUAGAUACCCCAGUAGUCCCUGUCUCUUAUAC